UUGAUCCUGGCUCAGAACGAACGCUGGCGGCGUGCUUUACACAUGCAAGUCGCACGAGAACAUUUCCUUCGGGAAAUCAGUAAAGUGGCGCACGGGUGAGUAAUACGUAGGUAAUCUGCCUGUUGGACGGGGAACAACCCCGGGAAACCGGAGCUAAUUCCGCGUAAUCUGGAGAAACAUUAAGUUUCUUCAGGAUAGAUGGCCUAUCCAUGGAAGCUAUCGACGACAGAUGAGCCUGCGCACCAUCAGCUUGUUGGUGGGGUAAAAGCCUACCAAGGCUACGACGGUUAGCUGGUCUGAGAGGAUGACCAGCCACACUGGAACUGAAACACGGUCCAGACUCCUACGGGAGGCAGCAGUGGGGAAUAUUGCGCAAUGAGCGAAAGCUUGACGCAGCGACGCCGCGUGAGUGAUGAAGGCCUUCGGGUCGUAAAACUCUGUCAAAAGGGACGAAAACCUUGCAGAAGUAAUACUCUGCAAGUCUGACUGUACCUUUAGAGGAAGCACCGGCUAACUCCGUGCCAGCAGCCGCGGUAAUACGUAGGGGGCGAGCGUUGUCCGGAAUUACUGGGCAUAAAGGGUGAGUAGGCGGCCUAGCAAGUCAGGUGUUAAAUCCUUCGGCUCAACCGAAGUAAGCACUUGAAACUGUUAGGCUUGAGUGCAGGAGAGGAGAGUGGAAUUCCUAGUGUAGCGGUGAAAUGCGUAGAUCUUAGGAAGAACACCAGUGGCGAAGGCGACUCUCUGGACUGCAACUGACGCUGAGGCACGAAAGCGUGGGUAGCGAACAGGAUUAGAUACCCUGGUAGUCCACGCCGUAGACGAUGAGUGCUAGGUGUUGGAGGGUACAACCUUCAGUGCCGGAGUUAACACAUUAAGCACUCCGCCUGGGGAGUACGAUCGCAAGAUUGAAACUCAAAGGAAUUGACGGGGGCCCGCACAAGCAGCGGAGCAUGUGGUUUAAUUCGAAGCAACGCGAAGAACCUUACCAAGACUUGACAUCCCUCUGAUAGUCCUAGAGAUAGGACGUCUCUUCGGAACAGAGGUGACAGGUGGUGCAUGGUUGUCGUCAGCUCGUGUCGUGAGAUGUUGAGUUAAGUCCCGCAACGAGCGCAACCCUUACCUUUAGUUGCCAUCAGAUAAGCUGGGCACUCUAGAGGGACUGCCGGUGACAAACCGGAGGAAGGUGGGGAUGACGUCAAAUCAUCAUGCCCCUUAUGUCUUGGGCUACACACGUGCUACAAUGGUCGGUACAACGGGUAGCCAACCCGCGAGGGGGAGCCAAUCCCAAUAAGCCGAUCCCAGUUCGGAUUGUAGGCUGCAAUUCGCCUACAUGAAGUUGGAGUUGCUAGUAAUCGCGGAUCAGAAUGUCGCGGUGAAUGCGUUCCCGGGCCUUGUACACACCGCCCGUCACACCAUGAGAGUUGGUAACACCCGAAGCCAUCGGGCUAAC
rnacentral:rRNA from 1 species